rnacentral:lncRNA from 1 species
UUCCCGUCAUGUCCAAUUUGAUGAGGCUACAUUCCCGUUCAAAACAGAUUCUCUGCUUUCUGUACCACCAACACAACAACGUGGUGAAGAGAAGGCUUCUUCUACUCCUGUCAUGGUCACAAAAGUUCAUCUGGUUCCGUCUUCACAGCCCCCGAGCUCAGAUCCUCACCCUACUGUCUCGUUCUCAUCAUCAGCGACUUCAACUCCAGCAUCAUCUCAAUCACCAGUCGACUCUGCAUCUCAGGUAUUGCCUUCUAUAAACUCUAACUCUACUACUCAUGCUACUACGUCUUCUUCCCCUCUCUCAGACCCUACUGGUCAAACUAAUAUCCCAAAUCACCCGAACAACCCUGACCAGCCUACCCUCACCACACAAAGGCCCACUGGCUCAACCAUUCUCCCGAAUCAACAAACCACUAUAACAGAAACCAC